rnacentral:lncRNA from 1 species
AUGACAGAACAAAGCUGUGAUGGGGCUCUUGCUUUCAGUUUGAUCCCAUUUGUACUAUAUGUGGUAAGAUUUUUUGAUACUUGUAAAUGUGGAUUACCCUCUUCUGUUAUUUAUAGUUCUGAUUCUCUUGGCCCUCAUUUUUGCAUCCCUUUGUUUUUUCAGCCUAGACAUGACUUGGAAGGAAGUGGAUGGGGAGUGUCCACACCUCAAGGAGAAUAUAGAACCAGCGAUUCUGAAUGUCAUUCCUCACAUCACACUCAGAUGGGAUGCAUGCUGGGGAGUGUAUCAUCAGAUUGAAGAGAGAAGAAACAGACCAAGCCAUGCUGCUGGCACUACAGGUGCAAUUAGGAAAACCAAUGCUAAGCGGACAGGCAAAUUGCACAGUAUCAGCAGGCCUCGAUAUUUGAGAUGGCUUAAUCUGGCAGGGUGGGACUAGCACUGGAGUCCAUAUCUCCCCUGGGACAUCUGAAGUCAGAAGGUCAGCAACUGGAGGUAUGGGGAGGAAGGGUGUCAAGAGUGAGUAAGCUGGAGUCAGGAAGCCUAAAGCAAAAUAUACAAGAUUGGACUAGCUCCAUGGGGCUAUGGUUAGGGAAAGGCUAGUCAUGUAGAUACAGUGGGACUGAGGGAAGGGAAGAAUGCGAGUAUAUGAACAAAACUCCCCAGGCAUGUUAGAUACCAUUUUAUGAGAGUGAGACCACUUUCAGUGGCUAUUGCUGAUGCAGUCUCUUUCCAGUUUGAGGUUGGCUUAGAAACUAACCAGAACCAGGCCUGCAGAUGAGGAGGUGAGGCAGCCAGAAGUUGACUCUGAGUGCUCACGCCAAAAGAAAAAAGAGAGUGCUACCUGAAUAUCUAAUUUUCCUCAUAAUUAUUGUCUUUAUUCCUUUUAUAUCUUUAUAUUUUGUAUUUUUGGCUUAAAUUGUGUUUUGAUGGUAACAAUUUCCUGUGAAAAGUUAAGACUUUCAUCUAUCUUAUAGAAGGGUUGAAUUAAUAAAUAUUAAUAAGAUCUUAUGUAGCUUUAAACA